rnacentral:lncRNA from 1 species
AGCUCGUCAUUUUUCCUGUUAUUUUAAUAAUAAGGAAAUAUUAGCAUAGUGUUUCUUUUGAUAGCGAUAGACUAUAAUCCGUAUUUAAAUUUUAUAGAGGAGAAAUUUUAUUGUACUGUGAUGUAGAUAUUUAUUAUCCAGGUAAGGAUUUGCCCGGUGUGUAUUUUUUACAAUUGAAACACUUUAAUCUUUAAAAAAAAAAAAAAAACUUUAAACACACACACACACACAGACACAAAAACAGACUAGGGGAAAAAAGGUUUGGCCUUAUCACAGAAUUUGUACUGUGCUGUACAAAUGUUUGCAAAUGCAAAACGUGUGCAUUUCUAGCGUGUUUCUACAUUCAUUAAUGCCGCCUUCAGGAGCAAUAUCGUGCAGGUAAAAUGCUGUUUGUGGCUUUCUGUUGCACAGUUAAAGCUGACCCACCUUAUGCACAAGACAAUCAGAUAUAAAUCUGUCCUCCUCAGGAUGCAGACAGGACGUUCCAGAGCACAACGCACGACAGAAGAAGACCCUUAGGAGACAGGCAACUUGCUGACACACACGCUAGCAGGGCAUGAACGAGCAGACAUUAUGCCACUCCCCUCUUUUGGUUCUUCCUAUUUGGCAUUUUUCAUUUGA